ACCCUCAUUCAAGGGUUAGCAGCCAAGGCAGCACUUUGUUUGUUUGUUUGUUUGUUUGUUUUUAAAUAGAGAUUGUAUUCUUGUUGAGCUAUCACCAGUCAUUGGAAAGGUUGCAGGUACCUAGUUUAGCAGUUACAAUGAACAUGUUGAAGGUUCAGCACUUUUGAAAAUCAAGUCAGAAAUACCAAUCUGUUGACUCAAAUGUAAUAUAGCACAUGCUGCACUCCAGAGGGGUUGUGUUUCUGACCUAUUUACUAUGGUAUGGAAUUCUGUAGUGACUGCAAAUCAAAUGGGCAAUACACAGAGGCAACAGUUCCUGGAGGUCAGAAAGCUGAGGUGGCACAUGGGAGACAAGAAGGGAAUGUGAAAAAGAAGAGAAUGGGAUUUUUCCUCCAAAGAAAUCUAAUUCUGGAGAAAAGAGAAUGAAAUUCACAGACUUCAUGUUCCAAAACCAACAAAAGAAAUAAUCCCAGGUUCUGAUCCAUGUAAUUGAUGGUCAUCUGUGCAAACUGUAUUUCAUUAUUCCCUGUGAAAGCCCCCAUUGAUUAAAUAUUGGUUGGAGCCUUCAGCAUGGGCUCAGUAGCACCGUUGUGAGUAAUAUACAUAACAUAUGUAAAAGUUAAUUUGAUACAAAGCCAUUUAAGGACUCAUCUUUGAAAUUCCUCAAGGCAAUAAGAUGGUCCAUUCAUAAUGGAUUGUCCUACAUUGAUGAACAAGCAAAGAUUACUCAGCCAGAUAGCGGCCUCAGGACAAUCCAUAUAACAACAACUUAACAAAAUUCCUUACAUAAAAAAUAUAUCAAGAUUGAUUCUUCAGAUCUAAAAUGGAAAAUAAGUUCUUCCUUGAGGUUUUGCUAGCUUAACAAUUUUGCCAUUCCAUGUUUCUUUAACUGUAGUGCACAAAUGUUACGUAUUAUUAUUCCACUGUUCUUUCUUUUUUUCUGGGUCAUGCAUUUCAUUAUUUCCCAGCAUUUUAGCUCAUUUCUGCCUACUGUACUUAUGUAAGGAAAUAAAACUUGUGCCACACAUCAAGGGCAGAACUGAAUGCAUCCCUUCUCUAGUUAUGACUAGAGGAUUCCCAUAAUCAAAACGCUUGUGGCUAUUUUAGCGUCUGCUUCCAUCCCAGCUCCUACGCAAGGGCAAAGUAAAUCAUAUUACACAAGAGCAACAAAAUAAAUUCUUUGAGUUAAGGGCAUAUGACUUUUACCAGAAGUAUAGCCUGAAGCAGAAUAAUGUUCACAAGUUCCUGGAAUACGCAGGAUCUAGAAGAGACAAAGCAGACAAGAAGAAAAACAACAGUGCCAAUGAAAUGAAUACUUCCAGGGAAAACAGAAGAGCGUGUGUGUCUUCUAGUUUCUGAGUGGGCUUUAGCAUGUGGACCAGUAGCGUGAGCUGUCAUGGGACCAGAGGGAGAAAUCAUGACUGUCAGAUUUUAUCUUCUCUACUGGUACGUCUGUAUUCAUAAGAGAAGAGACCUAGAGAUAUAGCAGCAGAUCUUCUUCCAUAUUCAGGAACGUUAAAUGUUAUCUGGCCUGUUCACACCAUGCAGUGUAUGCUUGCUCUUUAGCUGCAUGUUUGUGGCAGUGUGCCGUGGUUCUGGGCCAGUAAGGGCAGAGACUGGUUAACAUGCAGAAGAAACAGUGAUGUAAAUCUGCCUCCAGGCCAGACCAGUUGUGGAGCAGAAGCUUGCCAUGCUGCUUCGUAACAACACCAGUCAGCUUCAGCAUAAACAGGGAUGGGAAUUUUAUGUGCAGAAGGGGUUUAAUAGGUAGCCUCCUUUCUGCUGUAGCCACUUCAUCUAUUCUUGUAGAUGGGUCUGAAGAUAACAGCUAGGAAGAAAGACACAUGAUUCUUUUCAUCUUGAACAAAAUCUUGUUGCUGCAAAAGCUGGUUGCCACAUCAAUCUGCAUAUUGGUGACCCUUAUGCAUCUACAGUUCGUUAUCUUGCAUGUCAGGUAAUUAGAUCUCCAUGUACACUACUACUCGCAAUACACGUGAUACAGUGUUUCCUGAGGGAUACAGAGACUAGCUGAAAAAAGCAUUUACUAAGACCAGGCUUGUGUGUGCAAGCAGAAAAAAGCUUGUUCAGAAAAGAAUUAGACUUUCUACCACUAGUUUAUCCUCCACAAAGAAGCAUGCUUCCUGACUCUGACAGCUGUUAAUAAUAGGUAGUCGAAAAGCAACCUGAAAUGAAGCCCCAAGAUGUGAGCGUGUAUGUAACACUUUACAUCUGCACUCCCCGUCCUUCCACUUCCAAACACCGUAAGCACUGCUGCAUCUAAAACAUCGUUAGGAUUUUCAUCUGGUCACAGUCUGGGCAGGCAUAACUGCUGCUGUUACGUUUUGUGUAAGGUGAGGGAAUUUGAGCCUCUAGGCAACUCUUCCUUAAAUAAGUGCUGACGCUUCUGCUAACUGGUAAAGUUGUCAGCAGCCCAAAGAAGCAAACCAGCAUGAAAAAUGAGCUAUGUUUUACUUUGAGAA